ACGGAAGGCAGCAGUGGGGGAUAUUGCACAAUGGAGGAAACUCUGAUGCAGCAACGCCGCGUGAGGGAAGAAGGUCUUCGGAUUGUAAACCUCUGUUUUCGGUGAAGAAUUUUGACGGUAGCCGAAGAGGAAGCCACGGCUAACUACGUGCCAGCAGCCGCGGUAAUACGUAGGUGGCAAGCGUUGUCCGGAUUUACUGGGUGUAAAGGGUGCGCAGGCGGGACUGCAAGUUGGAUGUGAAAUACCGAGGCUCAACCUCGGAGCUGCAUCCAAAACUGUAGUUCUUGAGUGGAGUAGAGGUAAGCGGAAUUCCGAGUGUAGCGGUGAAAUGCGUAGAUAUUCGGAGGAACACCAGUGGCGAAGGCGGCUUACUGGGCUCUAACUGACGCUGAGGCACGAAAGUGUGGGUAGCAAACAGGAUUAGAUACCCUGGUA
rnacentral:rRNA from 1 species